CAGUGGCGAACGGGUGAGUAACACGUGGGCAAUCUGCCCUGCACUCUGGGACAACACCGGGAAACCGGUGCUAAUACCGGAUACGACGUACCCCGGCAUCGGGUGUGCGUGGAAAGCUCCGGCGGUGCAGGAUGAGCCCGCGGCCUAUCAGCUUGUUGGUGGGGUGAUGGCCUACCAAGGCGACGACGGGUAGCCGGCCUGAGAGGGCGACCGGCCACACUGGGACUGAGACACGGCCCAGACUCCUACGGGAGGCAGCAGUGGGGAAUAUUGCACAAUGGGCGCAAGCCUGAUGCAGCGACGCCGCGUGAGGGAUGAAGGCCUUCGGGUUGUAAACCUCUUUCAGCAGGGAAGAAGCGCAAGUGACGGUACCUGCAGAAGAAGCACCGGCUAACUACGUGCCAGCAGCCGCGGUAAUACGUAGGGUGCGAGCGUUGUCCGGAAUUAUUGGGCGUAAAGAGCUCGUAGGCGGCCUGUCGCGUCGGAUGUGAAAGCCCGGGGCUUAACCCCGGNUCUGCAUUCGAUACGGGCAGGCUAGAGUUCGGUAGGGGAGAUCGGAAUUCCU
rnacentral:rRNA from 1 species